UACGUAGGGGGCUAGCGUUGUCCGGAAUCAUUGGGCGUAAAGCGUGCGUAGGCGGCCCGGUAAGUCCGCUCUGAAAGUCCAGGGCUCAACCCUGGAAUGCGGGUGGAUACUGCCGGGCUAGAGUGCGGAAGAGGCGAGUGGAAUUCCUGGUGUAGCGGUGAAAUGCGCAGAUAUCAGGAGGAACACCAAUUGCGAAGGCAGCUCGCUGGGACGUUACUGACGCUGAGACGCGAAAGCGUGGGGAGCAAACAGG
rnacentral:rRNA from 1 species